CUACGUGCCAGCAGCCGCGGUAAUACGGAAGGUCCAGGCGUUAUCCGGAUUUAUUGGGUUUAAAGGGAGCGUAGGCCGUGGAUUAAGCGUGUUGUGAAAUGUAGACGCUCAACGUCUGAAUUGCAGCGCGAACUGGUUCACUUGAGUAUGCACAACGUAGGCGGAAUUCGUCGUGUAGCGGUGAAAUGCUUAGAUAUGACGAAGAACUCCGAUUGCGAAGGCAGCUUACGGGAGCACAACUGACGCUGAAGCUCGAAGGUGCGGGUAUCAAACAGGAUUAGAUACCCUGGUAGUCCGCACAGUAAACGAUGGAUGCCCGCUGUUGGUACCUGGUAUCAGCGGCUAAGCGAAAGCAUUAAGCAUCCCACCUGGGGAGUACGCCGGCAACGGUGAAACUCAAAGGAAUUGACGGGGGCCCGCACAAGCGGAGGAACAUGUGGUUUAAUUCGAUGAUACGCGAGGAACCUUACCCGGGCU
rnacentral:rRNA from 1 species